GGGUCUGGCCAGAAAACUCAGUUUAUGGGGAGAUUCCUAGAGGUAUUACAAGGAAAUGGAAAGCGACAGCUUUUCAUUCGGACAUAUUUUGGGUGCACAGAAAAUUACAUGGGAAAAUCCCAUUCACAAAAUUAAACUAGGGUUAGGGGUUGGGGCUCGGGUUAGGGUUAGGUCUCCUUGGGGUCUGGCUAGAAAACUAACCUUCUGGGGAGAUUCCUAGAGGUAUUACAAGGAAAGAGAAAGCGACAGCUUUUCAUUCGGACAUAUUUUGGGUGCACAGAAAAUUACAUGGGAAAAUCCCAUUCACAAAAUUAAACUAGGGUUAGGGGUUGGGGCUCGGGUUAGGGUUAGGUCUCCUUGGGGUGUGGCCAAUAAACUCAGUUUAUGGGGAGAUUCCUAGUGUUAUUACAAGGAAAGGGAAAGUGACAGCUUUUCAUUCGGACCUAUUUUGGGUGCACAGUAAAUUACAUGGGAAAAUCCCAUUUAGAACAUUAAACUAGGGUUAGGGUUGGGGCUAGGGUUAGGGUUAGGUCUCCUUGGGGUCUGGCCAGAAAA